rnacentral:rRNA from 1 species
AAGUCAGGGGGCAGGCACGAUCUUCGGAUUGGUGGCGACCGGCGCACGGGUGCGUAACGCGUAUAGAACCUACCUUCUACAGAGGGAUAGCCCAGAGAAAUUUGGAUUAAUACCUCAUAGUAUUAUAGAUUGGCAUCGAUUUAUAUUAAACAUUUAUGGGUAAGAGAUGGCUAUGCGUCCUAUUAGUUAGUUGGCAAGGUAACGGCUUACCAAGACAGCGAUAGGUAGGGGUCCUGAGAGGGACGACCCCCCACACUGGUACUGAGACACGGACCAGACUCC